rnacentral:ncRNA from 1 species
UGUUUGAUGAAUCUUACAAUUCGUAUAUCCUCAGAAAUAUGGUUUGAGGGUCUCUACAGGGAACCGUAAAUUCCCGGCUACGAAUGGGGUUGUCUCUGAC